rnacentral:rRNA from 1 species
UAUCCUACGGGAGGCAGCAGUGAGGAAUAUUGGUCAAUGGCCGAGAGGCUGAACCAGCCAAGUCGCGUGAGGGAUGACGGCCCUACGGGUUGUAAACCUCUUUUGUCGGGGAGCAAAGAGAGUCACGUGUGGCUCAUUGAGAGUACCCGAAGAAAAAGCAUCGGCUAACUCCGUGCCAGCAGCCGCGGUAAUACGGAGGAUGCGAGCGUUAUCCGGAUUUAUUGGGUUUAAAGGGUGCGUAGGCGGGAUGCCAAGUCAGCGGUCAAAUACGGGGGCUCAACCUGCGUCCGCCGUUGAAACUUGCG